rnacentral:rRNA from 1 species
UACGUAGGGCGCAAGCGUUGUCCGGAAUUAUUGGGCGUAAAGAGCUCGUAGGCGGUUUGUCGCGUCUGCUGUGAAAACUCGAGGCUCAACCUCGGGCUUGCAGUGGGUACGGGCAGACUAGAGUGCGGUAGGGGUGACUGGAAUUCCUGGUGUAGCGGUGGAAUGCGCAGAUAUCAGGAGGAACACCGGUGGCGAAGGCGGUUCUCUGGGCCGUU